AUGGACGUGGGCAGCGGAAGAGGCAGAGGCGAUCUUUGCACCGCGCAAGAAUCGCGAGAGGAGGUGGCGAGGCGCGGCGGCGCCAUGAGGACCCGCGUGUGCGCGCGCGUUGGCUCGCCGCAGGGCGUCGGGGCGCUGCUCCUCGUCGGAGGCGCGAUCGUCGGCGCCGCCGUCGUCGCGUGGCGGCGCCGCGGCGACGGCAAGGGCGCCAAGAAGGACCGCCGCGGCAAGGAGGACGACGUUCUGGAUGGCGGGGUUGUGGAGAACGAGCAGCAGAAGUCUGAUCAAUCUGAUGAGAAUCUGAGCAUGGAGGUUAGAGAGGUUGAAGCUGAUGGGUUGGAUGGUAAGGAAGCAGAGGAGCUUCAUGAGAUUCAGGAGCAGGUGGAUGAAAUCGUUGCUGAUGAAUUGGACAGUGAACCUACAGAUAAUUUUGAUCCAAACGCAAGCAAGGAGCGUGCCGAGAUCGUUAAUGAUACGGACAGUGAAGAUGAGAAGAAUCCUGACCAAAAUUCAGUGAACAGCUGCGUCGAGAAUGAGAUCGCACCAAAUGCCACCCAAGGUGUGAAGAACUCUGAUGAAAGCACUCUUACCAUCAACAGCCCGGAGGUCGCCCAUGAAGAACAUAUCGGGCAAGGACAUGACGAUGAUCAAGAGACCGCAUCAACACAGAUGACAGCGCAUCAAUCACAAAUCUCAGAGCAACUGAAAGUGGAUACCAUGACUGAAACAGCCACAGUGGAGAAUGUAUCGAAGCACGAGGAGCAGAAACCACCGGCACAAGAGCUGGUCGCGCCCAUAGACUCACCCGCAUGUCCUUCACUGCCAGCUCUGUUCAAGCCAGCAGAGAAGAAGAGACCAGCGAACACGGGGUGGAAUGAGACAGGGAUGAAGCUUGGACAAGAUGGCGGCAGCAAGAAGGCAGCAGCAAAGGGUGUAGCCGUGGUGACCAUGGAUCGUAGAGCUGCUUCAAUGGCCAUUCUCGCCAUCAUCUUCGCAGUGACCAUUGGAGCAAACGUCGUCAUGCGCUUGUAUUCCACUUUGCGAGCGGCAUGA
rnacentral:rRNA from 1 species